UACGUAGGGGGCUAGCGUUGCCCGGAAUCAUUGGGCGUAAAGCGCGUGUAGGCGGUCCGGUAAGUCCGCUGUGAAAGUCGGGGGCUCAACCCUCGAAUGCCGGUGGAUACUGUCGGGCUAGAGUGCGGAAGAGGCGAGUGGAAUUCCUGGUGUAGCGGUGAAAUGCGCAGAUAUCAGGAGGAACACCGAUGGGCGAAAGGCAGCUCGCUGGGACGGUACUGACGCUGGAGGCGC
rnacentral:rRNA from 1 species